AUUGAACGCUGGCGGCAUGCCUAACACAUGCAAGUCGAGCGGAUGAAGGGAGCUUGCUCCUGGAUGCAGCGGCGGACGGGUGAGUAAUGCCCAGGAAUCUGCCUGGUAUUGGGGGAUAACGUCCGGAAACGGGCGCUAAUAUCGCAUACGACCAGAGGGUGAAAGUGGGGGAUCUUCGGACCUCACGCUAUCUGAUGAGCCUAGGUCGGAUUAGCUAGUUGGUGGGGUAAAGGCCUACCAAGGCGACGAUCCGUAACUGGUCUGAGAGGAUGAUCAGCCACACUGGAACUGAGACACGUUCCAGACUCCUACGGUAGGCAGCAGUGGGGAAUAUUGGGCAAUGGGCGAAAGCCUGAUCCAGCCAUGCCGCGUGUGUGAUGAAGGUCUUCGGAUUGUAAAGCACUUUAAGUUGGGAGGAAGGGCAGUAAGUUUAUACCUUGCUAUUUUGACGGUACCAACAGAAUAAGCACCGGCUAACUUCGUG
rnacentral:rRNA from 1 species